rnacentral:lncRNA from 1 species
GAUCCCAGAACCAACACCUCCAAAGAGGGAAAUAUUAAUGGAAGUGAUCAAGAUCACCACUGUAUUUGAUGGAGAGGAAGUUGAUCCUGUUUUCAGUCACAGGGAGGGUGUACGAGUACAACAGUAAGUCUGGAGCCAGACGCUGGAAGGACGUCACCACUGUGUCUGAGUCUGUCCCUAUGAUACAGCCAGAGAGCAGCAGCAUGGUCAUUCCUCAUGGUCAGCAUGGUCAUUCUGCCCAAUCACAGGCUAGGAGUUGGAGGGCUAGCACUGGCCAAUCAAAAAUGAGGAGUGAGGGAGUAGGCAGGGCCACAGAGGAUAGAGGAUCUCCCUGGUCCAGUCAGAGCAGACAAACGUCUGGGCAGUCUGCAAGGUCUGCUCGGUUUGCUCUUUCAGAAGGAGGCGUAAAGUUAGAUAUGGUACCCAUGACAACUAGGGGAAGGCCCAACAUGUCUGAAGUCUGA